GCUUUCAUUGCCAUUUUCAACGGAUUCGUUGACUCUUGCUCCAAAAGACUUAUCAUUUUCUGCAACUAAAAUAUACCAACACUCAUUAGUCC
ensembl:ncRNA W04G5.14 ncRNA